CUUCUCCAUGCAACAUCUAGAUUCUCUUCUGGCUUUGAACACUUCUUUUCCAUAAAAUAAAUCUUACCUGAGGACAAGAAAUAAAGGCAUUGGGGAGGAUGAAAACGCUGUCCAUUUCCUGGAGCACAGGAGGAGGCUGGGAUGCAGAAUGCAAAGAGCUGUGGUUUUUUUCAUACCCAUACUUGGAACAGAG
rnacentral:lncRNA from 1 species